AUUUUGUAUGAGUUUUAUCAUCAUCGCACAUUGACAAUUAUUGCAGGGAUAGGUGAAGAGACAGGCGAUUGGUAGUGUAGUGUGUCGCGCUACACUGGUGCUGUGCACGUCUCGUAAGAUUGGAUAUGUAGCGUACGAGAUAUUCAUUUAGUGCAUAUUCAAGACUGUGAUGAGCAUUGGCUAGAUUUGUUGGUGGAUGAUUGUCUGGCCAUCUUGCAGUGAAAUAUUUGGAGCUUAUUGGCCAACAUCAUUUGUUGAUGGUGGUAGAGGGAAAAUCAACAAGUGACCAUCACAGACAGAAGAGGCCCAAAAUGGCCGCAUCAGAGCAUACCAGCCCGUCAGCGUCUACCCCAUCAAGAAUGGCUGAAGCGCCGCAAGCACGUUUUGAAGAGAUUGAAAUAUGGCUUGACCAGCAUCCUGAGUUCACACACGACUAUUUUGCACGGAAAGCAACACGAAGUAUGAUCGAUGGUUGGUACAUCGCUACCGCUGUUUCGCAGGGUGUCAAACCGGCGGCUGGUGACGUUAACCAUUCACCAAACAGCUCAUCUGGCAGCAACACGCCUGUAAGGAAAGUAUCCGCCUCAGAUUUUGAACUUCGUGAAGCUGGUGGUUCGCUUGGUCGUAUGGUUCAGACGGUUGACGGUUCACCAAGCUUUCUCGGCCCAUCUCUGCAGCGCCAAGGGAAAUUGUCGCCUCCGGUGCGAUCAAGGAAGUCCAUCAACGAACUGAAACAACUUGAGGACCGGAGAAUUCUUAUGGAGCUUGUAAAAGAUAUUGCCAAUGAUCUUGACCAGAACAGUCUCUGUCACAAAAUUUUACAAAAUGUGUUGAUCUUGACUCGAGCAGAUCGUGGAUCACUUUUCUUGGUUCAGGGGAAGGGAACCGAGAAUUGCUUCCUCGUGAGCAAACUCUUUGAUGUUACGAUUGAUUCAACUGUCGAGGAGUCUGUUGGUAAAGAGGUAGUGAAGGUACGGUGGGGUAAAGGCAUUGUGGGAUAUGUAGCGAAGACCGGAGAGACAGUCAAUAUUGCAAAUGCAUAUGAGACUACACAGGGUUGAGUGGCUUGAGUGAAAAGAAAAACUGGUGAAUGGUAAUUCUGGUUUUCGCUUUGAUUCAGGUUUAGGGAAGAAUUGUAAACAGAUAAUUCAAACCAAAAAUUAAAGCAUCGCUUAUACCAGUGACGUAACGUCUAUGUGCUCUCGUGCGGCUUUCCGCAUUGCCCCCCAACUCCAUCGUUACGCCUCUGGUUUAAUCAGGAUUAUUACAUAGCUUCGCAAGUGGAACAAAUUUUUGUACAAAUUUGGUAAUGUUUUGAAAGAACAUUUUCUUUAAAAAUGGUGUGGAAGAGGCUUCCCUGACUGCUGGAGGAGGUGUAUUCCUUAAUAGCGAGACCAGACAUUGAAAAUGCUCUGUCACUGACUCGUUUUAUUGUACUAUAUGUGGUAUUGAGAACAGCUUUUUAGAUGAUAAGCGAACACUGCCAGCAAGAUUGUAGUGGUUGAUAUAUUUGCUAAUAUUUUGCACGAUUUUAAGGAGUGCAAGUUGUUUUGCAUUUUUAUUUAGUUUACAAUUUAAUUGGCAUGGACCUGUAUUGACCAAUUAUUACUGAAAAGUAUAGUUUAUUAAUGAAUUAUGGUCAUUUUAAGUUAAUUUUUAAAGUAACCAUGAUUUCAGGAUUUACUACAUUUUACUAUUACUGUGUAAAAAUAAUAGCCAUUCAUAAAACAUUUAGGACUGAAAAUAUCUUGCUAAUGUAUUGUUCAGGUAAUUGUCUGAUCUGAAGGACAAGGCAAUGUAAUUGUAAGUAAAGCUCUAAUUAAUGUAUAUUAUCAAUGGACUAUUGAUCUUGGAUUUCAGAUUAAAUUGCAUAAUUAUGAUUAUAGCAGAGAUGCUGAGAAGGAACAUAUUUUUUAAAACAAUUGGAUGUGAAAUAUCAUAAAUCUUAUGGAUAUUAAUAUUAUUCAUUUCAAAAAGUGACUUUUGACUAAUUUUACAGUAAAUUACACACCAUGAAUAGCAUGUGGCAUAGUGGUGGUGCUUCCAACCAAGCUUUUGGUUCGAGUCACUGUUCACAUUAAUUUGUGACCUUGGAGAAAAUAAUAGUACAUGGGUCUGUAUUAUGGAUAUCAAGUCUGUUGUUGGAUGUGUGGAUGCCAAGAUGUUUGGACAUGCUGGCCUUGAAAAUUGUUAGAAGGAUACUGCACUAAUAUUAUUUAAUGCAUAUUUUUUAUUUAUGAUCAUUGCUGUAAUUAUUUUUAUUCUUAUUGAUUAAAUAAUAUUGUGGAGAA
rnacentral:misc_RNA from 1 species